AGAGUUUGAUCCUGGCUCAGGAUGAACGCUGGCGGCGUGCCUAAUACAUGCAAGUAGAACGCUGAAGCUUGGUGCUUGCACCGAGCGGAUGAGUUGCGAACGGGUGAGUAACGCGUAGGUAACCUGCCUCUUAGCGGGGGAUAACUAUUGGAAACGAUAGCUAAUACCGCAUAAAAGUCGACAUCGCAUGAUGUUGACUUGAAAGGUGCAAUUGCAUCACUAAGAGAUGGACCUGCGUUGUAUUAGCUAGUUGGUGAGGUAACGGCUCACCAAGGCGACGAUACAUAGCCGACCUGAGAGGGUGAUCGGCCACACUGGGACUGAGACACGGCCCAGACUCCUACGGGAGGCAGCAGUAGGGAAUCUUCGGCAAUGGGGGCAACCCUGACCGAGCAACGCCGCGUGAGUGAAGAAGGUUUUCGGAUCGUAAAGCUCUGUUGUAAGUCAAGAACGAGUGUGAGAGUGGAAAGUUCACACUGUGACGGUAGCUUACCAGAAAGGGACGGCUAACUACGUGCCAGCAGCCGCGGUAAUACGUAGGUCCCGAGCGUUGUCCGGAUUUAUUGGGCGUAAAGCGAGCGCAGGCGGUUUGAUAAGUCUGAAGUUAAAGGCUGUGGCUCAACCAUAGUUCGCUUUGGAAACUGUCAAACUUGAGUGCAGAAGGGGAGAGUGGAAUUCCAUGUGUAGCGGUGAAAUGCGUAGAUAUAUGGAGGAACACCGGUGGCGAAAGCGGCUCUCUGGUCUGUAACUGACGCUGAGGCUCGAAAGCGUGGGGAGCAAACAGGAUUAGAUACCCUGGUAGUCCACGCC
rnacentral:rRNA from 1 species